CUUCUAUACCGCGUGACACACUGUUGGAUGGAUGCCCAAACCAGCUCUGGAAAGUACAAAGUUGUGGUUCAGUCAAAUGCAUCUAUAUUCCAAGUGACUACCUUUCUUUACACCUCUAUUCCUGGGAGAAGAGGCUUGUACCAGCUGCUGAGCAACAGAAGGUAUCAGCUCUUCUUUAGUACCAGAACCUGAC